GGAGACGGAUGAAGUCUGAGAAUUUAUAGAGACUGGAUCACGCUUUUGGUCUGAGCACUGGUAGAGAUGGACACUCUUGCCUGGAAACUGUUUGUGAGGGUACCACUGAAACUGAGAGGCAUCUUGGGUAAACUGACUGGACUGGACUGUUCUCCUCUCCACGUCUCACCCCAGCUUCUGCAUAAGCCUGACAAAACCCUCCUAGGCUGGACACUCAAUAGCAACUCGAUCCCUGGAAUCUGUUUCUGCUGUCCAGGAGCUCUGCCUUCCUCAUAGUCAGAGGAAGGAGGAGAGGGGAACAGAGAACAGCGUGCACAUGUCCAUGUCGAAGAUACUACCAUGGGUACUAACGCUCAGGACAAACUCUAUCCAAUAGUAGUUUCAUAUACGCUCACAACACUUUUCUCAAUUAGUUUCUCACACACUUAACUUCUUUGCAGUUAAAUAGUACCAUAGAUAUCCAACCCAAUCUGCUAGGUUGAUAGUCACUCUAUGGGAAAAUGCUUAGAACACUGCCCCAACCCACCCUCCUUGGUUUGCUAUGGUUUCCUAUCCACCAGUUGAUGGAUGGGUUUGCAUAUGCAGCCUUGAUUCUGUAGAAUAAUCCCUUUUGUCACUAUACAGUCAGGUGACCCAAGAGAAUUAGAACUUCAGUCAGGUGGUGACUGUCAUAAGUGCUAGCAGAUGGGGAAACUUUCUGUGUUGUUUUCUACAUCUCAGAUACAUGUAUACAGAAACGAAGACAGAAGUUUUGCAGAAGCAACUGAUCUUUUGAUAGUGUACAGAAGCAUAGAAGGGCCACAUAACCCCAGUAAGGGAAGAGACAGUGUGGAAAUUCAGCGUUUCUGUUCAUCCUUCAGCCCUUGAUACAUUUCAUAUCAUAGGAAAUAAAAUAUUCUAAUGUAGAUUUUUUAUUUUAGCUAGUCUAAAUGGAGUUCUAUUCUUUGUCAAGUUUCCCCCAAAUUGAUAAAAUAUAAUCACAAAUGGCCUGAGAGUUCUGAACCUCAGUCUUGAUUAUAAGAAGAAAAACAAAUUUAGUGGCAAUUGAGAAUUAACAGUAUUUUGGGCGAAGAAGCGCCCACCACUAUGGCCACCUUUCCUCCUCUCUUCCACCCCCAGUCUUGCUUUUGUCAGUGCCACCUUUGGGCAGGUGGUCCUGUGGUGCAGAAGAAAUCAAACUGAGCAAGUCAUGGAGGAUAAGCCUUGCCUCCAGCU